rnacentral:lncRNA from 1 species
AAUACAUUUUUUUCAAUAUGCAUAACAUCGAGGAAAUGUCUUACAUACAAAGACUUCCAAUAUGGCAGUUCAAAAAAAAUUGACCUUUUCUUCCACCCACUCUUGACAAGUGUAUGUGCAAAAGGCUUGCCAAACUUAGUACUUACGUCCUUCACCUUUUCAAAAAUUUGAUCACCUGUCAACAUUGUUGGAGCUCUACCUUCUUCUGUAUUUCCAUUGAAUG